rnacentral:rRNA from 1 species
UACGGAGGGGGCAAGCGUUAUCCGGAUUCACUGGGUUUAAAGGGUGCGUAGGCGGGUAUAUAAGUCAGUGGUGAAAGCUCCGGGCUUAACUUGGAAAUUGCCAUUGAUACUGUAUAUCUUGAAUAUCGUAGAGGUUAGCGGAAUGUUGCAUGUAGCGGUGAAAUGCUUAGAUAUGUUACAGAACACCAAUUGCGAAGGCAGCUAACUAUGCGAUGAUUGACGCUGAGGCACGAAAGCGUGGGGAGCAAACAGG